ensembl:lncRNA
GUACCGCUGCAGUACUGAAAGCGUGUGUUCUGCCCGCAGGUGAGGGCAAAGCAGUGACCCCGCCUGACAGACAGGUAGCACCAUCUGUGCCAGGGGACAGCCUGACAGCUCCAGCGCAGGGGGAAUGGGGCAGGGCUGCCCCAGCCUUCCUUUCAAGCCUGCUUAAUAACAGGCUUCUCUUCUCUUCUAACGAAAUCAAAGAUUUUACUCGCUCAGAUCUUUGCCACUUAAGGAAAAACAAGUUUCUGAUCCCAGCAGAUUUUCUUUUUUCACUGCUAUGCAGUCAGAGCUGUUAAAGAUAAGGCAUGAUCAUUGUUCUUCUAAGGCAAACCUGCAGUUGUCCUAAGUGCCUGCAGAGAUGAUUCCUUCAUCAGCUGAGUUGAUUGAUGCUCUCAGCUCCUGCCCCUCUCCUUACCUCCACCUAACCCUGACACGUAUCCACCAGGGAAGAAGGUAUGCAGCAGUAGUGUGACUCUUCUGAGUGGCAUCAGCGACUCCUACCAUGGUUGAUAAACUGAAGUUUACUAAAUGACUUUGUAACUUAAUGAACUAAUAGCUUACUUAACAAACUAAACCAAAGUCCUGGUGUUAUUUCACGGAGCUCAUAACUCGCCGUUCUGAACGAGCCAACAUCAUUUGCACGAGUGAAAGCUGCCUCCAAGCUCAGGUGUUCACAACAUGAUGAGAAGUAUGGGAAAAAAGCAAAAUCAGAGCUGAAGAGGGAGAAGUGCUGCUGGCAGGACUUGGGCUGUUUUUCUGUGGCGCAGGCUGCCUGCAUCCAGAUGGUGGUAAAAGAGAAACGUGAAGGGGAAAUGCAUGUGCACAAAGCUCACGCAGUGCAGGAUGGCUGCUUCUAGUUACAUGAUAGGAACCUCGCAGCAGAAAUGCUAUCAUUAAGAUGUUAAUCUAAAUGUUCCAUCAAACUGCUCAGAGAUAAGAUUCAGAUCUGAUAAAAGUGCAUAACUGUGUUUUUUUUUCCCGUGAGUAUUUCACUGCAGGAGCAGUGAUGUUUAUGUAUUGUAUGAUUAAGCACUGCGACCUUAGGAAAGGAUGAAGUUUGGUUUUGUUCUUUUAUGCUCCAGACAUUCGAGUUCGACUUCUUUGACGCUAUUUCGUCUUCAGAGGAGGCAAAGUCAAAGGCAGAGAUCAAGCUCUGGAUUUGAGAAACAGCAGUUGACUGCUUCUCAGAAAAGGCAGUUUGUUCAGUGGUUGCCUUCUGCUGCUGACACUUGCCUAUCUGCACUCUCCGCAGUGACAUGGAGACUGAAAAUGCAGUCUGAGCACACAGUAGAAUUAAGAUGUAACUCCCAACAGAAUGAGGGAUGAGUCAUGCACACAGCUCUCAGUGCAGCGUGCAUUUCCUCUGCUGGCUCCAGCUGCAGGGACAGACCAGAGUCCAGGAAAGGAGAAGCAGAGAGGACCACCAUCACUUAAGCUGAGGUCUCUGCCAGGGACUCCUCAAUAGGUAUCAGCUGAGGUUCACACUCAGAUAAAGGACAGGAGCAAGGGAGUUGACCUGGGGAGUCAAUGUUAUCAGCUCAAGCCCUUCUUCCACCCAUGAAUGUCCUCUUUACUCAAAUCCUGAUGAGUAGAGAGCAGAGUAUGCCUGCCUUGCAUGACUCCAGGGAUGCAGGCAGAGCAAUUCCUUGUGCAAAUUUUAACGUGAAUCAUUAAAUCGGGUGAAAAGGAUGAGAAAAAAAAGUAGAACUUUGUGGCGAUUUAAUGCUGGUGGAAUUUCGUGCCAUAUUAGUAUUUAUCUGUCUAUCAUCUAUCAUCAUCUCAUUGAUUUUGCACAGAGAAGCUUACACUAUAAAUUCUGUGAAUAAAUCUUCUUUAGGAAAAAAGAGACACUCAGUCUUCCUGUGAAGGACAGCUACCUCAUGU